rnacentral:rRNA from 1 species
UCAGGAAUAUUGGGCAAUGGGGGAAACCCUGACCCAGCAAUGCCGCGUGAGGGAUGAAGGUCUUCGGACUGUAAACCUUUGUUUUCCGGGACGAACACAAUGACGGUACCGGAAUAGAAAGCCACUGCUAACUUACGUGCCAGCAGCAGCGGUAAUACGUAGGUGGCAAGCGUUGUCCGGAUUUACUGGGUGUAAAGGGCGUGUAGGCGGGACUGUCCGUCGGGUGUGAAAACUGGAGGCUCAACCUCCAGACUGCAUCCGAAACAACAGUUCUUGAGUAUCGGAGAGGUAAGUGGAAUUCCCAGUGUAGCGGUAGAAUGCGUAGAUAUUGGGAGGAACACCAGUGGCGAAGGCGACUUACUGGACGAUUUCUGACGCUGAGGCGCGAAAGCGUGGGGAGCAAACA